rnacentral:rRNA from 1 species
AGGCGUGAUGACGAUGCACCACGGUGCAGAAGCAGUUGAUGCCAUGCUUCCAGGAAAAGCCUCUAAGCAUCAGGUAACAUUAAAUCGUACCCCAAACCGACACAGGUGGUCAGGUAGAGAAUACUCAGGCGCUUGAGAGAACUCGGGUGAAGGAACUAGGCAAAAUGGUGCCGUAACUUCGGGAGAAGGCACGCUGGCGUUAGGUGAAAGGACUAGCUCCUGGAGCUGAAGCCAGUCGCAGAUACCAGCUGGCUGCAACUGUUUAAUAAAAACACAGCACUGUGCAAACACGAAAGUGGACGUAUACGGUGUGACGCCUGCCCGGUGCUGGAAGGUUAAUUGAUGGGGUCAGCCGCAAGGCGAAGCUCUUGAUCGAAGCCCCAGUAAACGGCGGCCGUAACUAUAACGGUCCUAAGGUAGCGAAAUUCCUUGUCGGGUAAGUUCCGACCUGCACGAAUGGCGUAAUGAUGGCCAGGCUGUCUCCACCCGAGACUCAGUGAAAUUGAACUCGCUGUGAAGAUGCAGUGUACCCGCGGCAAGACGGAAAGACCCCGUGAACCUUUACUAUAGCUUGACACUGAACAUUGAGCCUUGAUGUGUAGGAUAGGUGGGAGGCCUUGAAGUGUGGACGCCAGUCUGCAUGGAGCCAACCUUGAAAUACCACCCUUUAAUGUUUGAUGUUCUAACUCGGCCCCAUGAUCUGGGGUGAGGACAGUGUCUGGUGGGUAGUUUGACUGGGGCGGUCUCCUCCCAAAGAGUAACGGAGGAGCACGAAGGUUAGCUAAUCACGGUCGGACAUCGUGAGGUUAGUGCAAAGGCAUAAGCUAGCUUGACUGCGAGAGUGACGGCUCGAGCAGGUACGAAAGUAGGUCUUAGUGAUCCGGUGGUUCUGAAUGGAAGGGCCAUCGCUCAACGGAUAAAAGGUACUCCGGGGAUAACAGGCUGAUACCGCCCAAGAGUUCAUAUCGACGGCGGUGUUUGGCACCUCGAUGUCGGCUCAUCACAUCCUGGGGCUGAAGUAGGUCCCAAGGGUAUGGCUGUUCGCCAUUUAAAGUGGUACGCGAGCUGGGUUUAGAACGUCGUGAGACAGUUCGGUCCCUAUCUGCCGUGGGCGUUGGAAGAUUGAGAGGGGCUGCUCCUAGUACGAGAGGACCGGAGUGGACGAAUCACUGGUGUUCGGGUUGUCAUGCCAAUGGCAUUGCCCGGUAGCUAAAUUCGGAAGAGAUAACCGCUGAAAGCAUCUAAGCGGGAAACUUGCCUCGAGAUGAGUCUUCCCUGGGGCUUAAAGCCCCCUGAAGGAACGUUAAAGACUAUGACGUUGAUAGGCUGGGUGUGUAAGUGCAGCGAUGUAUUGAGCUAACCAGUACUAAUGAUCCGUGAGGCUUAACCUU